GACGGGGGGGGCAAGUGUUCUUCGGAAUGACUGGGCGUAAAGGGCACGUAGGCGGUGAAUCGGGUUGAAAGUGAAAGUCGCCAAAAAAGUGGCGGAAUGCUCUCGAAACCAAUUCACUUGAGUGAGACAGAGGAGAGUGGAAUUUCGUGUGUAGGGGUGAAAUCCGUAGAGAUCGGGAGGAACACCCGUGGCGAAGGCGGCCAUCUGGACCAGCACUGACGCUGAGGCACGAAAGCGUGGGGAGCAAACAGG
rnacentral:rRNA from 1 species